GAGGCUGCAAGCAUUAGCCUCUGGCCGAGCAAACCAACUGCGUCGAGAACAAAAACCCACCUUUUUUUUUGUCAUCCGCACAAACGCUAGUUACAUCAGGUAAAAUACAUUCCAUUUCCAGAUCAUUUAUUUCUAUUUUUGCUCCAGCAAUUUACUUAUACAUUGCACUUAACCGUCAUUUAAUAAAAAAAGAUGUGUAAUAACUUGUGAAGUCUGCAAAUCAAUAAUGGGUUAACAGCAGUCAUACUCAGGGAAGGAGCUGAUAUAUUAAUGCCAGGGAAUUUUUUUUGUUUAGUUUAGAGAUACAGUGCAAACAG